rnacentral:rRNA from 1 species
GAUGAACGCUAGCGGCAGGCUUAAUACAUGCAAGUCGAGGGGCAGCAUGAAGUAGCAAUACUUUGAUGGCGACCGGCAAACGGGUGCGGAACACGUACACAACCUUCCUUUAAGUGGGGAAUAGCCCAGAGAAAUUUGGUUUAAUACCCCGUAACACAACGAAGUGGCAUCACUUUGUUGUUAUAGUUUCGGCGCUUAAUGAUGGGUGUGCGUAUGAUUAGAUAGUUGGCGAGGUAACGGCUCACCAAGUCUACGAUCAUUAGCUGAUGUGAGAGCAUGAUCAGCCAGACGGGCACUGGGACACGGGCCCGACUCCUACGGCAGGCAGCAGUAAGGAAGAGUGGUCAGUGGACGCAAGUCUGAACCAGCCAUGCCGCGUGAAGGAUUACGGUCCUCUGGAUUAUAAACUUCUUUUAUAUAGGACGAAAAAAGGUCUUUCUAGCCCCCUUGACGGUACCAUAUGAAUAAGCACCGGCUAACUCCGUG